GAUGAACGCUAGCGGCAGGCCUAACACAUGCAAGUCGAACGGUAACAUAAAGUGCUUGCACUUUGAUGACGAGUGGCGCACGGGUGCGUAACGCGUAUACAAUCUACCUUUUACAGGAGGAUAGCCUUUAGAAAUGAAGAUUAAUACUCCAUAGUAAUUGACUGUGGCAUCACAGACAAUUUAAAGCUUCGGUGGUAAAAGAUGAGUAUGCGUUCUAUUAGCUAGAUGGUGUGGUAACGGCAUACCAUGGCAACGAUAGAUAGGGGCCCUGAGAGGGGGAUCCCCCACACUGGUACUGAGACACGGACCAGACUCCUACGGGAGGCAGCAGUGAGGAAUAUUGGACAAUGGAGGCAACUCUGAUCCAGCCAUGCCGCGUGCAGGAAGACUGCCCUAUGGGUUGUAAACUGCUUUUAUACAGGAAGAAACCGCUCUACGUGUAGAGUUCUGACGGUACUGUAAGAAUAAGGAUCGGCUAACUCCG
rnacentral:rRNA from 1 species